UACGUAGGCAGCGAGCGUUGUUCGGAAUUACUGGGCGUAAAGAGUGUGUAGGCGGUGCUCCCAGUCUGUUGUGAAAUCUCCCGGCUUAACUGGGAGGGUGCAGCGGAAACUAGAGUGCUAGAGGGUGGGAGAGGUAAGCGGAAUUCCUGGUGUAGCGGUGAAAUGCGUAGAUAUCGGGAAGAACACCCGUGGCGAAGGCGGCUCUCUGGGACGGUACUGACGCUGAGACGCGAAAGCGUGGGGAGCGAACAGG
rnacentral:rRNA from 1 species